rnacentral:tRNA from 1 species
GAGGGCACAGCUCAGUGGGAAAGUGUGUGCUUAGCAUGCACGAGGUCCUGGGUUCAAUCCCCAGUGCCUCCA